GUAGUUUAUAACACAUAUACUCUCUCACUCUCAGCUAGCCUUCACCAGGGCCACAACCACCAACCCAACACCUCCCACCACCACACCCACUAUUGCAACAACCUGUAACAACCAAACUAUUACCGUCCACCGCCAAUGAAACCCCACCAAAACCCGAACCACAUCUUCAACUUGUCGCCGCAUAUGGUUAGAUCUGAUCGGAUUUCAUGCCAGUUGCAGGCUUUGAAACGAGAAGAAUGGUCAGAUAUCACAGUUCUUAUCCUGAGUGUAUAAAUCAAAUGCUUCACUGAGUUGAUGCCUAUCGGCAACGGAGAUAGCGUUUCAGCAGCGUCGAUGGGUGUUGAUGUCUUUCGACGCGGUGACGGAGAUGAUGUUGUGAAGAAGAAUAAUAGUUAUGGGUGGCGAUUAGGUAAGAGAUUCUGAUUUUGUUUUUGUUAGGGUUUCUUCUAUAUCUGCAGAUUAGGUCAGACUUUAGAGAUUUGGGGGAUUUCUUUCAAUGGCAGGUACAGUGGAUUAGCUUAGACUUUAGAGAUUCUGAAAGUGAUUUUGUUGAACGGUUGUGUUUUAGGGUUGUUGCUUUGAUUAUCUUCGAAUGUAUCACAUAUGGGUGGGAAAACAGGCGGACUGGGUAAUUGGUUACAACGGGUAUGUUUUUGCCUUUUUGGUGUGUUCAUGUUGGGUUGACCUUAAACACUUUGUAUCCAAAUCUCUUAAGAAAAGUUGCUGUAUGGAACAAGAAUUCGUAUUUUUUGAAUAACAGUCUAUUUCCAUCAAUGAAAAUAAAUUUUGAGUGCCUUUAAAUCAGUUUGACCUAUUCGACCUGUUUAUUUUAUACUAAUUUCUCUUAACCUCUUUGGAUAACAGCGGGUCAUUUAGGGUCAAUUGAAUUAGAACGGGUUACGGGUUAUUAGGGGUUUUAAAUGAAAAGAAACCACGGGUGAAGACGUGAAGUCUUCACUUCACCCUGAUUCACUGAACCCUGAACAUCAUCUUCCGUUCUUCAUCAUUGACGCCCCAAUCUCCCCCGUCGUUGCCGUCUCCACCGUCGCGCCGCCGCAAAUCAUCUCUAUAAACCCCAAGUAUCUUUGUAGAUCGUUCCAUAUUCAUAUUCACGAUAUCUUUGUACAUCCAAGAUUUGGGAAUUUGACUACAACAGAGGUUAGGGAGGAUCAAGAAGUUGAAAUUGCUGAAGGUUAAAUAUUGAUGCUUAGUUAUUAAGAUUGAACAUAAAGACAUAUGUAUUGCUGUAUAAAACCUAUUUAAAGCUGUUGUUAAUGAUUCUAUUUGUUGUAUAAAACAUGUUUAAGCUGCUGUUAACGAUUCUGUUUGUUGUUAAAGUUGUAUUGAACCUGUUUAAGCUGCUGUUAAUGCUGUAUAAAACAUGUUUAAGUUGUUGUUAAUGAUUCUGUUUGCUGUUAAAGUUGUAUUUACGAAAGGUGUAUAGAUCAUAAAAAAUUUGAUGGAGGCAUACUUUUUGUGCGUUUAUAACUUAUGAGUGUGCAAACUUUGCAGCGGGGUUUGUUGCAGGAAGCCUUCCGGGGGCCACUACGGGUCCUUUAGAUGUUGCGAAAACACGCCGUCAAAUAUAGGUACCGAUAACCAAAUUUUUUCUGGAGGUGCUUUUUAACUGCAAGUAAAAUCGAGUUUGUUGCUAGGCGAGGCGCAGGUCUGUGCAUUCUGUGGCCUAAGGCACGAGUCAUUAUGUGGCUGUCAUUUUGUUUUUAUGUUAUGCAUUUUGUUAAUUUGUAUUAUGACACUUGAUAAAAUAAUUUCUUGGUCAAAUUUCGUUUGUUCUGUUUCUUUUUAGCAGAA